rnacentral:misc_RNA from 1 species
AAGUCGUAACAAGGUUUCCGUAGGUGAACCUGCGGAAGGAUCAUCAUUGAAUCUAUUCUCAAACACACCCUGUGGAUUGUUGUUGGUCGUAUGUCUCCUCUGCACAGAGGGUAUAGUUUAUGCUCUUUGUGUACGUGCAUGCGGCCGCUACUUUUCACUGCGUUGGAUGCGUCAGUGUGGUAGGAUUAUAGCAGGGUACAAAGAGUGCAAUAUGCAUUCUUUUGCCCUGUUACCUGCCCGCUCGUGUCCACGGUUUACACACUCAUACAACUACUUUAAACAUAUAUAUAUUAAACAAAACAACUUUCAACAACGGAUCUCUUGGUUCUG